GUGUGGACGGAAUUCGGGACAGACAGACGGCCGGCCGGCUCCCCGGAACUGGAAGGUUACAUUGAUUACCCACCUAGUACAACAUCUUACGGGAAAAGCAUAGUAUUUGCUAGAGGAAUAUGAACAUAACAGGAAGCUCCUGGUACAAUUUGUUCAGAAUACGUCCAUCCCAUUGGGACAGGGGCUUGUAGAAUCAGAAGCUAAAGAUAUUACUUGCUUGUCCCUCCUUCCCGUGACUGAAGCCUCAGAAUGCAGUCGGCUAAUGUUACCAGAUGAUACUACAAAUCAUUCUAACUCCUCCAAGGAGGUCCCUUCCUCAGCUGUUUUGAGAAGCCUUCGGGUGAAUGUGGGUCCAGACGGAGAGGAGACGAGAGCUCAGACUGUACAGAAAUCCUCGGAGUUUUUGUCCACUUCAGAGUCUUCUAGCUUGUUGCAAGAUCUACAGCCAAGUGAUAGCACUUCUUUUAUUCUUCUUAACCUAACAAGAGCAGGUCUGGGCUCUUCAGCUGAGCACUUAGUGUUUGUACAGGAUGAGGCAGAAGAUUCAGGGAAUGAUUUCCUCUCCAGUGAGAGCACAGACAGUAGCAUUCCAUGGUUCCUCCGGGUUCAAGAGUUGGCCCAUGACAGUUUGAUUGCUGCUACUCGUGCACAACUGGCAAAGAAUGCAAAAACCAGCAGCAAUGAAAUGACCGCUCCUUCAUCUGUCCUGCAGAAGGUUGUGGGAAGAGCUUCUAUGUGCUGCAGAGGCUGAAGGUGCACAUGAGGACCCACAAUGGAGAGAAGCCCUUUAUGUGCCAUGAGUCUGGCUGUGGUAAGCAGUUUACUACAGCUGGAAACCUGAAGAACCACCGGCGCAUCCACACAGGAGAGAAACCUUUCCUUUGUGAAGCCCAAGGAUGUGGCCGUUCCUUUGCUGAGUAUUCUAGCCUCCGAAAACAUCUGGUGGUUCACUCAGGAGAGAAGCCUCAUCAGUGCCAAGUCUGUGGGAAGACCUUCUCUCAGAGUGGAAGCAGGAAUGUGCAUAUGAGAAAGCAUCACAUGCAGCUGGGAGCAGCUGGGAGUCAAGAGCAGGAGCAAACUGAGGUGCUUGCUGAAGGAUCCCCACGUUCCCUGUCUUCAGUGCCUGAUGUGACACAUCACCUGGUGACCAUGCAGUCAGGGAGGCAAUCAUAUGAAGUUUCUGUCUUAACUGCAGUAAAUCCACAAGAGGUA
rnacentral:sRNA from 1 species